rnacentral:rRNA from 1 species
UUGCUAAAGUUAGGAAGAGUUGCGAACGGGUGAGUAACGCGUAGGUAACCUGCCUACUAGCGGGGGAUAACUAUUGGAAACGAUAGCUAAUACCGCAUAACAGCAUUUAACACAUGUUAGAUGCUUGAAAGGAGCAAUUGCUUCACUAGUAGAUGGACCUGCGUUGUAUUAGCUAGUUGGUGAGGUAACGGCUCACCAAGGCGACGAUACAUAGCCGACCUGAGAGGGUGAUCGGCCACACUGGGACUGAGACACGGCCCAGACUCCUACGGGAGGCAGCCAGUAGGGAAUCUUCGGCAAUGGGGGCAACCCUGACCGAGCAACGCCGCGUGAGUGAAGAAGGUUUUCGGAUCGUAAAGCUCUGUUGUAAGAGAAGAACGUGUGUGAGAGUGGAAAGUUCACACAGUGACGGUAACUUACCAGAAAGGGACGGCUAACUACGUGCCAGCAGCCGCGGUAAUACGUAGGUNCCCGAGCGUUGUCCGGAUUUAUUGGGGCGUAAAGCGAGCGCAAGGCGGUUUAAUAAGUUUGAAGU